rnacentral:rRNA from 1 species
GAUGAACGCUGGCGGCGUGCCUAAUACAUGCAAGUCGAGCGAACGGACGAGAAGCUUGCUUCUCUGAUGUUAGCGGCGGACGGGUGAGUAACACGUGGAUAACCUACCUAUAAGACUGGGAUAACUUCGGGAAACCGUAGCUAAUACCGGAUAAUAUUUUGAACCGCAUGGUUCAAAAGUGAAAGACGGUCUUGCUGUCACUUAUAGAUGGAUCCGCGCUGCAUUAGCUAGUUGGUAAGGUAACGGCUUACCAAGGCAACGAUGCAUAGCCGACCUGAGAGGGUGAUCGGCCACACUGGAACUGAGACACGGUCCAGACUCCUACGGGAGGCAGCAGUAGGGAAUCUUCCGCAAUGGGCGAAAGCCUGACGGAGCAACGCCGCGUGAGUGAUGAAGGUCUUCGGAUCGUAAAACUCUGUUAUUAGGGAAGAACAUAUGUGUAAGUAACUGUGCACAUCUUGACGGUACCUAAUCAGAAGGCCAGGGCUAACUACGUG